CCUACGGGUGGCAGCAGUGAGGAAUAUUGGUCAAUGGACGCGAGUCUGAACCAGCCAAGUAGCGUGAAGGAUGACUGCCCUACGGGUUGUCAACUUCUUUUAUACAGGAAUAAAGUGAGGCACGUGUGCCUUUUUGUAUGUCCUUUAUGAAUAAGGAUCGGCUAACUACGUGCCAGCAGCCGCGGUAUUACGGAGGCUCCGAGCGUUAUCCGGAUUUCUUGGGUUUAAAGGGAGCGUAGAUGGGUUGUUAAGUCAGUUGUGAAAGUUUGCGGCUCAACCGUAAAAUUGCAAUUGAUACUGGCAGUCUUGAGUACAGUUGAGGUAGGCGGAAUUCGUGGUGUAGCGGUGAAAUGCUUAGAUAUCACGAAGAACUCCGAUUGCGAAGGCAGCUUACUAAACUGUCACUGACAUUGAUGCUCGAAAGUGUGGGUAUCAAACAGGAUUAGAUACCCUUGUAGUC
rnacentral:rRNA from 1 species